rnacentral:rRNA from 1 species
GAUGAACGCUGGCGGCGUGCCUAAUACAUGCAAGUCGAGCGAACGGACGAGAAGCUUGCUUCUCUGAUGUUAGCGGCGGACGGGUGAGUAACACGUGGAUAACCUACCUAUAAGACUGGGAUAACUUCGGGAAACCGGAGCUAAUACCGGAUGAUAUUUUGAACCGCAUGGUUCAAAAGUGAAAGACGGUCUUGCUGUCACUUAUAGCUGGAUCCGCGCUGCAUUAGCUAGUUGGUAAGGUAACGGCUUACCAAGGCAACGAUGCAUAGCCGACCUGAGAGGGUGAUCGGCCACACUGGAACUGAGACACGGUCAAGAAUCCUACGGGAGGCAGCAGUAGGGAAUCUUCCGCAAUGGGCGAAAGCCUGACGGAGCAACGCCGCGUGAGUGAUGAAGGUCUUCGGAUCGUAAAACUCUGUUAUUAGGGAAGAACAUAUGUGUAAGUAACUGUGCACAUCUUGACGGUACCUAAUCAGAAAGCCACGGCUAACUACGUG